rnacentral:ncRNA from 1 species
GUAGGUGGAUGGCGAUGCCAUUGCCUGCCAUUCUCCUCUUGUCGUUGUUGCUCCGGGGCCCAAUUGGACCCCGGUUUUUUUUG